rnacentral:rRNA from 1 species
CCUACGGGCGGCUGCAGUGAGGAAUAUUGGUCAAUGGGCGUAAGCCUGAACCAGCCAAGUCGCGUGAGGGAUGAAGGUUCUAUGGAUCGUAAACCUCUUUUAUAAGGGAAUAAAGUGCGGGACGUGUCCCGUUUUGUAUGUACCUUAUGAAUAAGGAUCGGCUAACUCCGUGCCAGCAGCCGCGGUAAUAAGGAGGAUCCGAGCGUUAUCCGGAUUGAUUGGGUUUAAAGGGGGCGUAGGCGGCCUUUUACUUCAGCGGGGAAAGUCUGUGGCUCAACCAUAGAAUUGCCGUUGAAACUGGGAGGCUUGAGUAUGUUUGAGGCAGGCGGAAUGCGUGGUGUAGCGGUGAAAUGCUUAGAUAUCACGCAGAACCCCGAUUGCGAAGGCAGCCUGCCAAGCCAUGACUGACGCUGAUGCACGAAAGCGUGGGGAUCAAACAGGAUUAGAUACCCCUGUAGUC